CCCUUAGAUGUUCUGGGCUGCACGCGCGCUACACUGAAGCCAUCAACACGUUUUCCCUCCCUGAGAAGGGCGGGUAACCUUUUGAAUCAGCUUCGUGGUAGGGAUCGGGGCUUGCAAUUGUUCCCCGUGAACCAGGAAUUCCUAGUAGACGCGAGUCAUAAGCUCGCAUCGAUUAAGUCCCUGCCCUUUGUACACACCGCCCGUCGCUACUACCGAUUGAACGUUUUAGUGAGGCAUUUGGACCGACGCAUCUCAGUUUAACCGCUGGUUUGUGUUGGAAAGACUUCCAAACUUGAGCGUUUAGAGGAAGUAAAAGUCGUAACA
rnacentral:rRNA from 1 species